GUUGGGUAGGGGAGCGUUCUGUAAGCCUGUGAAGGUGUGUCGUGAGGCAUGCUGGAGGUAUCAGAAGUGCGAAUGCUGACAUAAGUAACGAUAAAGCGGGUGAAAAGCCCGCUCGCCGGAAGACCAAGGGUUCCUGUCCAACGUUAAUCGGGGC
rnacentral:rRNA from 1 species